rnacentral:rRNA from 1 species
GACGAACGCUGGCGGUGUGCCUAACACAUGCAAGUCGAACGCACAGUUUAUACUGUCGCUCGCUACCUCAUAACCAGUGAGUCGCGAACGGGUGAGUAACGCGUAGGUAACCUGCCUGGUAGCGGGGGAUCACUAUUGGAAACGAUAGCUAAUACCGCACAAUAUUUUUUAUUUCAUGAUUAUUGAUAGAAAGAUGCUCUUGCAUCUAUACCAGAUUGACCUUCGUUGUAUUAGCUAGUAGGUGAGGUAACGGCACACCUAGGCGAAGAUACAUAAGCGAACGGGGAGGGUGAGCGGCCACACUGGGACUGGGACACGGCCCAGACUCCGACGGGAGGGAGCAGUAGGGAAUCGUCGGCAAGAGACGAGAGUCUGACCGAGCAACGCCGAGGGAGUGAAGAAGGUUUUCGGAUCGUAAAGCUCAGUUGUAAGAGAAGAACGGGUGUGAGAGUGGAAAGUUCACACUGUGACGGUAGCUUACCAAAAAGGGACGGCUAACUACGUG